GCUCGUGGGGUUGCCAGGGGCACGGUGCAGCCAGGACCUACUAGUGUGACAGCUCAGCGGGCAGCCUGGAACAGCCUUGGAAGAGCCUGGCGCGGUGGGAGGGGGGGCUCCUGGAAUCCCAGCACUCAGGAGGUGGAAGCUGAGGCAGGAGGAUCUUUGCCAGUUUAGGCCAGCCUGGGCUAAAAAGUGAUAAAGUGCUACCGCUGCUGCCUUUGCAGUGUCCAAAGAGGUGAGCCCGAGUCGGAUCUCAAGAAGACAGCCACAGACCUCGGGGUCCGGCUGCUCUGCGGAAUAGCCAUCCAGAGUCUUCAGAGAUCGAAGUUCGCAGUUUACUGCUACAUGAAAAACCAGACUGGCCAGCUUCGGAGCGGGUCCGCAGUGAGUCACCAGCUUCCUCCGGUGUGGAGGGGGACCGUGACCCCAUUAUAAGGCCGGGGCCAAGAGACCUUCUUGUGACGCUGUGAUGACUAUGGCCCACACACGGCUGCUUCACACCAGUGCUGCCCUUGUGAGUGAGAGUGCAUGUGAGAUCUGAUCGCACCUCCUCACACAUCUGGAAGAUGGGAACCAUCGCGCCUUGUUCACGGCUGAGGAAGUGGAGAUGCAGAGGCUGGGCCACUCAGUAGAGCGCGGUCAAGCUGGGACUCAACCCUGCACGGAGGAGGGACUGGAGAGGACACAGGUUACUGGUAAAGUGCGGUGAUGUACGUCAGUCACCCGAGCCCCUGGGAAGCUGAGGCAAGAGGAUGGCAGCUUGGAGCCUAGCCUGAGUGACUCAGCAACUGAGGGAGACCCUGUCUCAAAAACUGGAAUGUUGUGGUGACGCACGCAUGGCACCCAGCACUUGGGAGGCUGAGGCAGGAGGAUCGCUGAGUUCAAGGCCAGCCUAAGUUACAUUGUAUGACCUUGUAUCAAAAAAUUGAAAUAAAAAAAGGCAGAAAUGAAAGAAUGACCUGAACAUUUCAGCAGCUAGGUGCUGGCCUGUCAGAGUAGGGUCCUCGCAGGGGCGCUGCCCCUGGACUUCCGGAAGUUCUUGGCUCCAUUUCUUCUGAAACUGUGCAGCAUGGCUGGUACUGAGUUCAGGCGUGGGCUGGUGCUUAGGGAGGAGGCUGGGUGCCCCAUGCUUAGCCUUCAAAUCAGGAAAAUCCUCAGCCUGACAGUGGAUGUUCUGAGCCCAUGUAAUCAGUUACCUUGUAAUAAAACCAGUUCCUCCAAAAAAAAAAAAAAAAAGAGUAAACACUUCCCAGCGGCACAUCCAGCAGGGCAGGAAACGUCUCCCCAGGGUGGGGCGGCCCUGGCCCUGCUCCUGAAGCCUCGCUCUGGUUCCGGGCUGCCUGGCACUGGGCCUGCACGGCCGGCACACUGCACACCGCACCCUCCGGGGCUAGGGCCUGGCCUCAGCAUCAGCCCCACUGCGGCCCUAACUGUCCAGCGGGGUUGGACCCACUGUGCUCAGGCACCCAAGGCUGGCUGGGCUGCCCUCCUCCCCCUGCUGGCCCCAGACUGUGUGUCUGGCCUUCCUGCCUGCUCCCCGCUGCCUGCCUCUGGAGGGGAGCCCCCAUCCCCACCCCAGCCCAGUUCCCCAAACAGAUGCGCAGGACUGCUCCCCGAGGUUGGCAUCAGUCUUUAAUGCUGGCAGGCUGCACAGUGACAAGUCACACAUUUGGUCUGGUUGGCAGGAGUCAUACAAUGUACUAGACUGGCCUCCAGGGAGUGUCACCCAGCCUUCCCUGGCCCCAAGGUCCCCUCAUGGGCGUGGGCAGGGCGGGACAAGAGGCGUUGGACCGACUGUACAUGGAGACCGCACACGGAAUUACAAAACUGUAUUUACAGCUGAUCCGAGGUGCUCCUGUAAUCAGGAGCGAAAACCCUUUUAUCAAAAGGGAGUAAGUAUACCUAGGGCUGUGCAAAAUCCAAAAGGAUCAGAUCCCUUUGAGAGUCCAGAGUCCGUUCAGCAAAACGUGACUGGGGCGGCUGCUGGGCCCCAGGGACCCCGAGGAACUCCUUCCUCCCGGAGCAGCCAAGCUCCGUGGGGACAGUGGGAGUGGGCUGCACUGCAGACCCCAGACCCCACCGGGGGCCCCCAGGCCGGCGCCUUCAGUCCUGCCCUGAGGAGGUAUUGCUUGUGGUGCCGGCUGGGGCUCUCCCGGGGGGAGACACGGGAUCAGAUGCGACCUCGUCUUGAGGCAGUGACUGGAGUGUAUGGCCCAGCCCGGGCGGGCAGACCUGAUGCUGUUCCUGCUGUUCCCGGCACUCACCACUCUGUCGCUCGAAAAACCACUGAAGCACAACUUUGAAAGAUUGCAAUAUAUUCUCCGCCCAGCCCAGGUGCCGGCCGCCCUCCCGGACCCCCACGCCGAGGUGCUUCGCACAGGUCCCGGCAGCCCGCGCCACCGCUAUAUCGGGAGAACCUGCUCGAGGACGGUCCGAGAUGUCUGUGGGAGCCGCUCGGGAAAGGUCACUUCGAACUCGAUGAUGAGGUCCCCACGCUUCUCGGGCGUCUUUGGGAGGGGAAGGCCCUCGCCUGGGACUUUCCGCCUCAUGCCGGGCCUGAUGACGUCUUUGAACACCACGGGGAUGGUCCUGCCGUCCAGGGUGGGGACGUUUACUGUGCAGCCACACAGGGCCUUGGGAAGCAAAGUGACAAUGUGAGGGGAGACACCUGGGCCAUCUUGUGCCCAGACCUCUACAUCUACAACUACCCGUGUGGCUGGGUGUGGUGGGGCACAGCUGCCAUCCAGCACUCAGGAGGCUGAGGCAGGAGGGUGGAGAGGCAAGUUUGAGACCAGCCUGGGCUACAAAGCGAGCUCAAGGCCAGGCUGAACUGCACAGCAAGACCCUGUCUCAAAAAGAUAAAUGAAACAAAAUAAAAAUAAUAAGGGCCUCGGAUUUUAGCUCACUGGCACAAGCAUCUGCCCGGCCAGCUCAAGGAUGUGAAUUUGAUCCCAGAACCAAAAAUAAAAAAAAUUUAAAAAAUAAAAUAACCGAGCCCCCCCCACCCUUGCAGUGCCCACUCAGGAAGCGUCACCCAAGCAAAGCCAGGGCGCCUGGCCCAAGCCGCUCACCUCCCGCAGGCUGAUCCGGGCGGGGUAGACCACGUCGGAGCCGUCCCGCUUGAAGAUGCUGUGCGGCUUGUCCUUUAGCACGAAGACGAUGUCUGCGGGGAUGUUGUUGGAGGUCUGGUCCCCCUCCUUGGGGAAGGUGAUCUUGGUCCCCUCUUUCCACCCCUUCUUCACCUCGAUGGUCAGGAUCUUGUCCUCGCUGCGCGUGCUCUUGCCGUCGGGGUUGAGCCGCUUGUGCGAGAUCUUCAUCUUCUUGGUGCAGCCGUUGUAGAUCUCCUCCAGCGAGACUCGCAGGUCGUGGGUGACAGGCGGGUCCUGUUUCUUGCGCGCGGGCUCCUGCGCGGACCGAGAGCGGCCAAAGUUCAUGCUGGGAAAGCCGCCCAUGCCCAUGGGGAAGCUGGAGAACGGGUCGUCGAUGUCCAUGCCCUCCUCGCCGUUCCGCUGCCCGAAGAAGGUGUCGAAGGGGUUUCUCCCGCCAAAGAAUUCCGCGAACAUCGCGUGCGGGUCCCCGUGGAACGUGUAGCUGAAGGAGGUCCCGUUGGUGCCACCGCCACCGCCGCUGGGGCCGCCACCUUUGAGGC